GUAGUCAUAUGCUUGUCUCAAAGAUUAAGCCAUGCAUGUCUAAGUAUAAGCAACUUGUACUGUGAAACUGCGAAUGGCUCAUUAAAUCAGUUAUCGUUUAUUUGAUAGUACCUUACUACAUGGAUACCUGUGGUAAUUCUAGAGCUAAUACAUGCUAAAAACCCCGACUUCAGGAAGGGGUGUAUUUAUUAGAUAAAAAACCAACGCCCUCCGGGGCCCCUUGGUGAAUCAUAAUAACUUAACGAAUCGCAUGGCCUUGCGCCGGCGAUGGUUCAUUCAAAUUUCUGCCCUAUCAACUUUCGAUGGUAGGAUAGUGGCCUACCAUGGUGGCAACGGGUAACGGGGAAUUAGGGUUCGAUUCCGGAGAGGGAGCCUGAGAAACGGCUACCACAUCCAAGGAAGGCAGNAGGCGCGCAAAUUACCCAAUCCCGAUACGGGGAGGUAGNGACAAUAAAUACUGAUACGGGGCUCUUUUGGGUCUCGUAAUUGGAAUGAGAACAAUUUAAAUCCCUUAACGAGG
rnacentral:rRNA from 1 species